GCAGAAGUCGCUCACCUAUUUUAUUUUGCCUUCUCCCUCAUGCUAUCCUUAAGUUGCGUUCUUGUCACGUGUCCCUUCCACUUGUUACCUCAAGCAGCCUAUAUUGCCUCCACCAACCACCUACAGCUAUUGUUUGGUUAUCGGGCCUGCCUUGCGAGUCGUAGUGCAUGCUAGUGCUGUUAUAUCUCGUGACCGUUACCGCUAUCUUAUCGGUUAUCUGUUGGGAAUCAUGACACAUGCUACAUGGUUAUAUCUGUUGAGGGAAUCAUGGUUACUUGUUAAUAGUUGAUAGCGGAGGCAUCGGUGGGUCAGUUGCUCGUUUUAUGACGGCUCACUUGUGUUUCCUUAAAACCUAGGACCCCGAGUUCUUGUUAUCUGUUCCGAGACUGAGCGCUCUAACCACACGUGGGUAUGCUUCUGGGUCUCCCCUCGACCACUGCCGGAAUCUACAGCUUUGUCCAGUGGCCACAACUAGUUCGUAAUGUUUUACCAUUUGUUGUUGCGUGCAUGCCAGCCUGUUACUUAUUUACUUUGGGAAGCCCCUGGGUGCCAUGUAUCCCUUGUUUCUGGUAUGCACGUAUAGGUCGCGGAGCCGCUGCAAAGUGGUUUAUCGCCCCAGUGUGUGUUUAAACCACCUAGUACGCUGUCGCAAACAGCUAGGUCCGCUUCGGAGAUACGGCCGGACUUCGAUACGGGUUUAACUUAGUUAGGUGGCUUCCUGGACAUUGUUGUCGUGAAGGAGAGUGCGAGUCGUGAUGCUCCACCUUUUUGCCAUUGCCUUUGGAGUUGAUCGUGCGUGUGGGCACAUUUGGGCACCCCUGCAGGGUUAAAUCUUAUCGAUAAGCCGUGUCCGCGGUUAUGGACGACUUGGAGUUGUAUGACUCGACCAUAGACAACUUACACCUGCUGUUUCAAUCAUAAUAACCUGUGUAGUAAGCUAGCACAACUCUAAUAAUAAAUGGUUAAAACUUGACAACCGUGUGAGUGCCCUUGUAAGUACUUCCUUGCGAGGGGGGAACGCAUCGGCUGUGUUUUGUUUGCAGAGUAUAGAACUGCUAGCUUAUGCGCUCUCUCAUCUUCUCUGAUUAGGCGACUGUUGUAGAGUGUCUCUAUAGGUUUUUAGUGCUUGCGCGCUGCCGCUUAACCCCACCAUAUUGCCUAUGACGUUCCUCUUGCGUCCUCUAAGUCCCCUGCGUGCCUCAAGUACAAAGGACGACUGGUUGACGAAUGCUUAUACGUCUUGAAGUCUUGUUAAGUACGAACCCGUACUUAUUGCUGCUUCUACGGGAUAUAACCGGGCAGGUAUGAAGAUAUGUUCGAUGAAGACGACGCUAGCAAGGUUACCCUUCCGGCUUGGCCUGGGCAGGGUUAUGGACGCCACUGAUUAUCUACAGGACUCUUAGUCCAAAUUUGUAUCUUGUCCGUACUCGGAUGUAUUUGAUCUUCUGUAUGAUUUGGAUCUUUGUAUGUAUCUAUUUGUAUCUUGACUCGUUGGAGUCGUUGUUGUAAUAUAUAUGUAUCUUGUGGGCUCUAUUGUAAUCCUGUUGUAAUGUUACCUCUCGUGAUUGAUUCCACCCGCAUCGCGUGCAUGCUUCGGCGUGUACGAGGCGCUUGGUGGUGCGUCUCCUAAAAUCGAUAUCGUGCGGAUUUCGGCGGAUUCGCUGGGAUCCUCAUGGUACCGGUUUUGGGGCGUCACAAGUUGGUAUCAGAGCAUCAGGUUGACGGUACCCCACUAGUCCAGCCUUUAGGAUAACCUUGCCAAUGGUCGUUGAGUUUAGAGUGUCAAAACUAUUUUCUAAAAUUCGUUGGAUAGAUCUGACUAGCUCUGUUUUUCUCCUUACCUCCAUUCUUUCUCAUCUUACCUAUGCGAGUUUUUGAUCUUCUCUCUUAUCUGCUUCUCCGAGUCCUUGGUUCCGACGUGGGUUGGACUAUCAUUGUCUUAUCCUAAUAGGUCCGAUCUUCGGAGGAUCCCGACGGAAGCACAUCAUCAACAUCGGAACAACGACUUCUUGUUAGUGGUGUCGACGAGGACAAGAUGAAGCAAGAACUCUUGUUAGUGGUGUCGCGAUGAUAUACACGGUGCAUGAAGACCCGAUAGUUUAACCAACUCCCCCUUAUGUUGACGUGGAACCUCGGGGCGAGGUUCCUUGUUAGUGGUGUCGAUUGUAGCGGCCCAGGAAAAUAUCCCUAUUAGAUUUUCUUGUUCCUUUUCUUUUAUGCAUAGUCAUGUGCAUCAUGCAUCAUAUCACCUUGCAUGUUUUGUAAAACCCUAAAAAAUUAUUUUGUGCUACCCUAAUAUGUUUUGUAAAAUCUUUUGCUUGUCAUCUAUUCUCUACCCCUAUUUUACUAUCUCCCUAAACCUUCUCUCUUAUCUGAAAAUUCUUCAAUGGACGUGGCCUACCUUGGUCUGUUUCAUUCUUUUCUAGUGGACAUUCUUUGGUUCAGCUCUAGCCUAAUCUAACCGGAGCAGCCAACCCAGCCAAGCAGCAACCCGACCUGGCCCCUUUUAUUUCAGCCCAAAGCCCACCGAACCAUGCUCGCUUCCUCCCGUCGCUGUCUUCUUCGUACGGCAGCAAAUCCGGACCUCCACGUCGCCAUGAAACGUGAUGGGACGGCCACCAUGCAUCGCACCUCCUCCAUAUAAAAUCGUCCCUUGCUCCUCCCCUGCAACCCUAGUCCCAUUCCCUUCCACCCCGCCGCCACUUUUCUUCCUCGUCUCUUUUCUCCCGGUCGCUUCCUUCCUCGCGUGAGCCGCAGGCCACAGUUCGCCAACCUCUUGCUCGUCUCGGCCGUCGCCUUUUCGAACACCCGCGGCCGCCGCUCGUCUGCACCUCCGUUCGCGUACGUCCGCGCGUUCCCGGACCUAGCUGCACAAGCACGCCGACCACGACGUCGUUUCUGUCCGUCUCCUCCCCAUCCUCGACGUGCCCAUCAACGCCAAGGUCACCACUUUCUGCUCCGGCCGGCCGCCCGUCAAGUUCUCCGGCGCUGCUCUGCAUCGACUUCGCCCGCGCAACCUUGACCCUCUAUGGUGCAUCUCCGUUUCUUUCUCGUCGCCAGGCUCCCAAGGCCGAUUUGGGCUGCAUCAAGUUCUCGCGCGACAGCGCCGCCUUGCUCUGCAUGGUCUCCGUCCGCUCCGUUCCAGCCCACCCCGAUGCCGCUCUUCGUCGACUGCGCCAGGGAGCGUCCGCGCCUCGGCCAAGCCUGCGUCUGGGCCUUCUCCAUCCUCGUCCGAGCGCGCCAGCACAUGUCCUGCUUCGAAUCCUGCUCGAGCACGUCUUCGUCGCAGCACCUACGUCCCGGUCUCCUCCGUCAAGGCGUCGAGAAGCUGCUCCCGCGGCUCAGCCAGCGCCGCGCUGCGUCGCCUGCAUCUCCGAUGCCUUCGUGCAUGGCCAAACCUCCGGCUUGGAAACCAUCAACAGCAGCACGUCGCCAUCUUUCACGUGAUCCAAUCAGCAGCCUAGUUGGUCGCUGCCUUGUUUAACAAACGAUUCCUUGGGUGAGACACCAGUGCCAUGCAGCAGUCUAUCUUCCAGUCAGCAUCCCUGGCCCGCGUGUCAGCGUCUGCGGUUAGCUCCUGCUCGCGCUUUGAUUCUUCCCGGAUAGGAUCACGAAGUGGUGUGGUGAGAUACGCCAAGUUCUCCGGAUGUCCCUCGGCAAGCUUUAACAGGCAAGCAUUUUCCCCUAUACUUCUGCCUCUGCAGAAGUCGCUCACCUAUUUUAUUUUGCCUUCUCCCUCAUGCUAUCCUUAAGUUGCGUUCUUGUCACGUGUCCCUUCCACUUGUUACCUCAAGCAGCCUAUAUUGCCUCCACCAACCACCUACAGCUAUUGUUUGGUUAUCGGGCCUGCCUUGCGAGUCGUAGUGCAUGCUAGUGCUGUUAUAUCUCGUGACCGUUACCGCUAUCUUAUCGGUUAUCUGUUGGGAAUCAUGACACAUGCUACAUGGUUAUAUCUGUUGAGGGAAUCAUGGUUACUUGUUAAUAGUUGAUAGCGGAGGCAUCGGUGGGUCAGUUGCUCGUUUUAUGACGGCUCACUUGUGUUUCCUUAAAACCUAGGACCCCGAGUUCUUGUUAUCUGUUCCGAGACUGAGCGCUCUAACCACACGUGGGUAUGCUUCUGGGUCUCCCCUCGACCACUGCCGGAAUCUACAGCUUUGUCCAGUGGCCACAACUAGUUCGUAAUGUUUUACCAUUUGUUGUUGCGUGCAUGCCAGCCUGUUACUUAUUUACUUUGGGAAGCCCCUGGGUGCCAUGUAUCCCUUGUUUCUGGUAUGCACGUAUAGGUCGCGGAGCCGCUGCAAAGUGGUUUAUCGCCCCAGUGUGUGUUUAAACCACCUAGUACGCUGUCGCAAACAGCUAGGUCCGCUUCGGAGAUACGGCCGGACUUCGAUACGGGUUUAACUUAGUUAGGUGGCUUCCUGGACAUUGUUGUCGUGAAGGAGAGUGCGAGUCGUGAUGCUCCACCUUUUUGCCAUUGCCUUUGGAGUUGAUCGUGCGUGUGGGCACAUUUGGGCACCCCUGCAGGGUUAAAUCUUAUCGAUAAGCCGUGUCCGCGGUUAUGGACGACUUGGAGUUGUAUGACUCGACCAUAGACAACUUACACCUGCUGUUUCAAUCAUAAUAACCUGUGUAGUAAGCUAGCACAACUCUAAUAAUAAAUGGUUAAAACUUGACAACCGUGUGAGUGCCCUUGUAAGUACUUCCUUGCGAGGGGGGAACGCAUCGGCUGUGUUUUGUUUGCAGAGUAUAGAACUGCUAGCUUAUGCGCUCUCUCAUCUUCUCUGAUUAGGCGACUGUUGUAGAGUGUCUCUAUAGGUUUUUAGUGCUUGCGCGCUGCCGCUUAACCCCACCAUAUUGCCUAUGACGUUCCUCUUGCGUCCUCUAAGUCCCCUGCGUGCCUCAAGUACAAAGGACGACUGGUUGACGAAUGCUUAUACGUCUUGAAGUCUUGUUAAGUACGAACCCGUACUUAUUGCUGCUUCUACGGGAUAUAACC